UUAAACGGGCGUCGAAGGUAAGAUUAUUCUGCCGCUUACGAACUAAAACAGCAAUUUAAAACAUAUUUCAAACGGUUAACGUUACUAUAUUUUCAAGGAAAGACGAAAAGCGAAAAGCACUGUAGACAUAAUUGGCAACCGGUUUUAUGCGUAGUUAACUUUUAUGUGUCCUGCCUUGAGGAAAGUAAUGUUAACUUCUUGAAAGUAAGAAAACGUUAACUAAAGAAUAACGCAGCCAAACCUGUAAGCUACGGAACGAAACAUGAAGGGUUUGGUGAGUGAUCGUCUGCCAAAAAACUGAUUCUAUCGCCCACUUCAUACACCUCCAGCUGCUUCUACCUGGAUCAUACAGCCCUAACGUCCAAAUACACAUAACUUUAUUUCCGUGGUCAUAUCAAAGGUAUGUCUUCCAGAUAAUUUCACGGGUCUUGUAACCGAAUAAUCACAGUUGUGGCCAAAAAGGUGUUUGCAGUUUAUAUCAGGUAUGACACCUAACGUUACAUGAAUAUAGGCAGUACUACACCAAUGUGUCCGAUUUGUAUGUGUUUGAUAUGUAUAAUGUCUUUGUUUAGGCCUGUAUUUGGAAACUAGAUUGUAUUUAACAUGGUUUAGGGAUGGGUUAUAUGUAGAAUAAAGGAAUCCCUUUUACAAGUAUCCUCAUGCCUUUCCAUUAUCUCAGCCACACUAUUUUACCUGCUAUAUUGUAACCAAUCCAAUCAUAUUUACCAGUUGCUUUAUCUUUGUUUUUUGAGCAAGACAUUUCUGAUGUGUACAACGAACAAUGGAGAAAUAAUCAUCCUCAGUGAUGAUGAUGAUGAAGACUGUGAACCCUCAGUUCUCAUCGUGGAGGAUGUGAAGAAGAGUGACUGUGCUUUAGCUCCCAGUGAUCAGGAUGAAGACCUGGUCGUUACCUUCUCCCGCCCCGCUGAGGUGCUGCCUCAUGCGCGCUAUGACUGUCCCAUACAUCCUUUCACGGCUACAUAUUGUGAGAUCGGCUCUCCUGUUGACAUUAACCAGCUCAUGUGCGAUCAGUGCUUCUGCUACAUCUGUGACAAGCCGGCAUCAUCAUGUGUAGUGUGGUGCCACAGCGGCAUGUCUCACUGCAACAGCCACAAGAGGAGCGACUUCUGGAACAAGCUCAGAAACAGCACACUGCUUGGAGGCCUGAAGACGUUCAACCUCACGCUGUCUGAAAUAGAUGCUCAUCUCCGAUUUGCAGAGAUGAUGCUACAGAGCUUCAGAGAAGAGCUCGCUGCGCAGUUCUCUUCCUUCCUGAAGGGAAAGCCGCACCAGCAAGGCCUCGUCUACGAUUACACACCUGUGUAUGAGCUUGUGUCAUCAUUCCUGAACAAGGCAGAUAAACAGGAUGGCAGAGCUGCUGCCAUCAUGAGACUGGGAGCUGCUGAGUACUUCAUUCGACAUUGUCAAGCCACAGGGACCUUCAUCUUGAAGUCUCCUAUGGCGAAUGCUGCUGAGGCCAAAGUGCUGUUACUGCAGAGGGUUAUAUCAUCCAUGCAGAGACAGAUGGUGAUGGAUAGUUUUACCCCCGAGUUCACCCACAAACUGCAGGAUUUUUACAAGAGAUUCUAUUUCCCCGCUGAGCUGAAGAGUCUGAGAAACAGCCUGUGUGUCCGUCCUUGGCAUGAUGUCCUGCUGGUGUCUGUGCUGAAGGGGCAGAAUGUGUCGGGCGUCCGCAAAGUCAAAGGCAAGAAGGAUGUCCUGAUUGAACAGAUCUCUGUAGUUCUACUGAGAACAGAAGUACUACAGCAACAGCGCAGGUACAGAGAAUUAUGUCGCUACCUGCGAGUCGUCCAGACUGAUGAUUCCAAACUCAGCCUCCAGCAGGUACAAGACCUCAUCCCUUUCUUCGUGUGCAUGCAGGGAGACUUUAACUCCGCUCUGAACAGUUUGUUCACCACAGUGAACCCCCCCGCCUCCCGCUUCACGCCACAUCUCUUCCUCUUUUAUCUCUGCAUCUUUAAAACGGCAACAGCACCAAAGCUGGUGGUCAGUCAGCCGGAGCAGCUCUGCAAUUCUGAUGUAGCGUGGGAGCCAAUUAAAGGUGCUGUACCACUGGGGCGUGAUGUGCUGGUGAAGUUUGCUUUCAGGGUGCAGAGAUGCUGCUCUGCUGUCUACGCUGAUUCUCAGUGUUGGACCAGUUUGCUCGCAGUCGUCAACACACCUCUACCAGCACCGAGCCCACAGUUUCUACACGAAGCUAAAGAUGCUGUGAAUUUGAUACUGCUCGAGCAGCGCUGGUCAAACAUGCAGAGAUUCUUUCACGAGGUGUACCCAGAUCAGGCCUUGUUGCUCUUGGUAACGGGAGCUUUAGGUUUAAGAAUCCUUGAUUCUGCUCUGAGUCCCGCCCUCCCUGUGCUCAACAUGUUUAAGGAGAAUGUGUGGGCUCUUGAGUGGCUAUGGGACAAUUUGUCCUCCAGCCCAGAACGCCUCAGCUUCUUCUUACAGGCGGUCUCGCAAGAGAUGGAAAACAUAGCAGGUGGGGAUAAUUCGUUACCCUUUCUCCGCGCCCUUGUACCCGCUCAGUCUUCUGCAAAGGGGAACUAGUACCAUGAUCAGCACCUACUGCAGUCCAGUGGCUGUUAAACUUUACUCCUCCCUUGUGUCGCAAUGUCAACUGUGGGCCUGAUUGCAUGCUGAUGUUCCUGGCAAACGCUGAAGACCCAGCACUCUCCUCUAGUUGAGUUAAGAACUGUGGAGAGCUGGAUGACUUGACAGGUGAAUGUGUCAGACCAAAUUUACCUGGACAGACCAGGUGUCAAUACACCAAUGAAGUAACUUAAACCACAUCCUCUUUAUUCGAUAACAUUCUAGAGACACUCUGUUGCUUAUCCUUCAGUGUUUGUUCACCAUGCUGAUCGUCUAAACUGGAUAAAAGUUCAAUUCUGCAAUGUAGGAUUUUUUUUUUUUUUGACUGAGAGG